UUCAAUAGCCCAUCUCCACUGAAAUAUAUUUUUCCCUUCUCAUUUGUGUUGGAUAUUUAUAAAUUUUAAUUACAGGGACUAAUGCCAGAUAGAGCAGUGGAGGAACUGGAGUGCAAAGGUGUGUGGGAGGGGAAAGUGUGCAGGGUUAUCAGCUCAACAAGGUGCAACAUGAAGGCACAGAUUAGACACACAACUGAAAGCCAGAUUCAAAAAAGAAAAAAACAAAGUAAUUAUACAAAAAAAGACCAGGUUACACUACAGCUUUUUUUUGGCUGCGUGCUGUUUUCCAGAACCACAGGCCCACUGAAGUGCUUGAUUCAACAGAAAUGGAAAGCAAAGCUGCAGCUGGGAUUGUAAGACCUACAGAUCUACAUUCUGCCACAAGCAGCAGCUGAAACCAUACUGCUAUCAAUCAUACAUUAGAAGUAAAGAACUUACUGGCCCCAUAUCAUUAUAAAUCAUCAUAAAGAAACAUUUGGAAGAACUUGCAUGAAACUAUGAGGACCUUCCACCAGACUUACCUAGUUGCAUACUCUGCGAUAGAGCUCUGAAGCAGGACAUCAGGUGGGCACAAACAACACAGAAGAAACUAUGUCACAAGACCAAAGAAAUCAGCAUACAAAAAGAAUUUAAAACAACAAUAACAAACAAAACAAACAAACAAACACCAACCAAACAACCUCACUCCCUAAAGCGCCAAGGAAAACAUAAAACUCCUGUUUGUCCUCUCCUCACAAAAUACAAACAAUUGAAGCCUAACCCAACUUUACUCUGAGCACGACCACAGGAGGCGGCAUGUACCAGACACAGCCCGGCUAAACAACUAGACAUGUCAGACAUCUGUCAUGUUGCAUGGUCCAGCAGUAGCAGAGACUGGUCUGGUACAUCUGAUGAGGAAACGCAAGGAAUCUUUCUAUCUUACCAGGCUUCUUAGCUACAGAGUUCCUUCCUUCUGAUACAGCUGUUGAUGGCACUCAUAGAAAGAAACUACUGAACAGACACAUACAAACACUAAUGGACAUUAAUGUACUUCAAAAGGAAGCUGGAUGCCUCAACACUUCGACAAAUGUGACUCUGACAAUUACACUGCACUUGUUGACUAAUGAACACUGAUCUACAGAUUUAGUAUCCUGAAUAAAGGAAACCAUUUGUUGCUGUUGGACUAGUUCUCACUGAAUGAGAUGGAACAAAACCAAGAACAAAAUUAAUGGUUUUAGUGUACACAUGGUUUUGCUGCAGACCUACAAACAGUACAGCCAGGUUCUGCAUGUGGUGGCAAUGCUUUAUCUGAGCAAAUAUUUCACUAGUCACCUCUCUCAACAGUUUGAAAGAGUCCAUCAUACUAUGACUCAUGAUUUGCAUAUAAAUAUACCAUAUCUUGAAACCUCAUGGUACUUCCUCUGCAGCUCACUUCACAGACUCUUGGCUAUAAAAAAGCUCAAUUUACCAACUGACUGUGGGUAGUAGGAUUUGGGCAGCAACAACAAUGAUGAUGAAGCCAGGCAAAGCUCCAGAACUGCAGCAAUUAUUAAAAUUACAAGUGGACGUUAUACAUUUUUGAUAAUUCUUGACCCUGUGCUUGGCAGUAGAAUUUCUUCGAGCAUCUUUUGAGCUUUUAUAGGAAUAGCCGGAGACCAAGCAUCAUAUAUCUAUUCAGCAUAAUUGUUGCUGAUUUCUUACUGAUGAUUAGUCUGCCAUUUCAUAUGCAGUACAACCUGAAAAGAGAAUAUUGGAUUUUCAAAUAACUUCCCUGCAGUUUUAAUCUAUUCAUGUUGACAGUGAACAGGACAGGCAGUAUUGUAUUUCUUGCUAUCAUCACAUUAGAUUGGUUAUUUAAAGUGGUUCACCUGCACCACCAGUUGAAUAUCAUAUCGAUACUUUGUGCUAUAAAAACAGUAGUUACAGUCUGGAUUACUGCUGUGCUGCUGAACCUCCACGUCAUUUCCAUGAAAGUUUUUCAUUAUGACAAAUCUUGUCAAAAUGCCAUGCAUGACCAGUAAGAUAUAAUCAGCCAUUGUAUGGCAAAUUGCUCUUGAUUUCUUUUCUGCUUUUUAGGCAUUUUCUUCAGAAUUUUUUGCAUUAUCUUCAAACUGGAUCAGUUGGCUGAAAGGAACACAGUCCAAAGAGCUAUGAAGUCCUAAGAGGCAUUGUUAUUUGUUCAUUGUUGUAUAUAUUGGCUGCUUCUUUUCUGUUUUUCUGUUUGUUCUGAUUGCCACUGCGGAAAGCAUUACAACAACUGCUGGCAUUGUAGUCACCUUAUUCCAUGCUUCAGUUGGUUUUACAUACCUAAACAAUGUGUCUGAACAGGUGUGUAUUGAUUUUAAAGUCCAGGGUUCAUAAAUAGAUGAAAAAAAAAAAGAGAGAAAAAAAAUGUUACACCAAUUUAGAGAGACUUCUGUAGCAGACAAAAAUGAGUUCAGCAAGAAAUGUAGAACAAAGACUGCAGUCUCUCAAAGUAUUAAUGUUACAACAGUAGAACUACUUCAGAAUUGUGUUUGCGUCCCUCUGUCUCUCCUUAUUUUUAUUUAUUAAAUUAAAAGGGUGCAACCUGAUCCACUUGAAGAUUAUGUCCCUGCUCAUUGCAAAAGCGUUGGACUAGAUGACCUUUGAAUGUCCCUUCCAACCCAAACUAUUCUAUGAUUUUAUGAUUUUUUGGUUUUGGAUACAAUACGGCAUCAUGGAUACGUGUAUG